rnacentral:ncRNA from 1 species
GGUUAAGCGACUAAGCGUACACGGUGGAUGCCCUGGCAGUCAGAGGCGAUGAAGGACGUGCUAAUCUGCGAUAAGCGUCGGUAAGGUGAUAUGAACCGUUAUAACCGGCGAUUUCCGAAUGGGGAAACCCAGUGUGUUUCGACACACUAUCAUUAACUGAAUCCAUAGGUUAAUGAGGCGAACCGGGGGAACUGAAACAUCUAAGUACCCCGAGGAAAAGAAAUCAACCGAGAUUCCCCCAGUAGCGGCGAGCGAACGGGGAGCAGCCCAGAGCCUGAAUCAGUGUGUGUGUUAGUGGAAGCGUCUGGAAAGGCGCGCGAUACAGGGUGACAGCCCCGUACACAAAAAUGCACAUGCUGUGAGCUCGAUGAGUAGGGCGGGACACGUGGUAUCCUGUCUGAAUAUGGGGGGACCAUCCUCCAAGGCUAAAUACUCCUGACUGACCGAUAGUGAACCAGUACCGUGAGGGAAAGGCGAAAAGAACCCCGGCGAGGGGAGUGAAAAAGAACCUGAAACCGUGUACGUACAAGCAGUGGGAGCACGCUUAGGCGUGUGACUGCGUACCUUUUGUAUAAUGGGUCAGCGACUUAUAUUCUGUAGCAAGGUUAACCGAAUAGGGGAGCCGAAGGGAAACCGAGUCUUAACUGGGCGUUAAG